UAUUUUGUGCGAUUCUCUCUCAUUCUCCCCUCCUGCAAUAAACCAAGCGAUAUCGCUAACUGCAAUUUCAAUCCAAAAACCAUGAAACGAUCCAUCGACGAUUCAACGGCCCCGAUUGCGAAACCAGUUUUCCUCACCAAAGCCCAGCGUGAACAGCAAGCACUUGAACGCCGCCACCUUCAAGUCACCGGUCAUCGGCGCAAUCAGGAAGACCUUCUCCUUUCAGGCAAUAACCGUCCUUCCGAUCCAAAGCCCUCCGAUUCCGAUCGACGAGAUCGCGAUUCAGAUCGCCGAGACAGAGACAGAGAUAGAGAUAGGGACAGUUAUAGAGACAGAGAAAGGGAUAGAGAUAGAGAUAGAGAACGUGAUCGAGAAAGGGAACGGGAGAGGGAUAGGGAUAGAGAUAACAGAGAUCGGGAGCGGCGAAACCGUGAUAAGGAACGUGAAGAAGAAAGUAAGGCUCGUGAGCGUGCGCGAUUAGAGAAGCUAGCGGAACGAGAGAAAGAGAAAGAGCUUGAAUCGAUUAAGGAACAAUACCUAGGUUCGAAAAAACCUAAAAAGAGGGUUAUUAAACCUAGCGAGAAAUUUCGGUUUUCGUUUGAUUGGGAAAAUACUGAGGAUACUUCGCGUGAUAUGAAUUAUCUUUACCAAAACCCUCAUGAGGCUCAGCUUUUGUUCGGUCGAGGGUUUCGUGCUGGGAUGGAUCGGCGCGAGCAGAAGAAGCUUGCUGCUAAGAAUGAGAAGGAGAUGAGGGAUCAAAUCAGGAAGAAGGAUGGGAUUGAGGAGAAGCCGGAGGAGGCUGAUGCGCAGAGGCGUAAGGAGGAGGCUGCUGAUAUGUAUGACACGUUUGAUAUGAGGGUUGAUCGACAUUGGAGUGAGAAGAAGCUUGAAGAGAUGACGGAGAGAGAUUGGCGUAUUUUUAGGGAGGAUUAUAAUAUAUCUUACAAAGGUUCUAAGAUUCCUCGGCCUAUGAGGAGUUGGGUUGAGAGCAAGUUGAGUCAAGAGCUUUUGAAGGCGGUGGAGAAAGCUGGUUACAAGACCCCUUCUCCGAUUCAGAUGGCUGCUAUUCCCCUUGGUCUUCAGCAGCGUGAUGUUAUCGGUGUGGCUGAGACAGGUUCGGGGAAGACUGCUGCAUUUGUUCUUCCUAUGUUGAGUUAUAUCACAAGGCUUCCUCCUAUUAGCGAGGAGAAUGAGGCUGAGGGUCCUUACGCUGUUGUUAUGGCGCCAACUCGUGAGCUUGCUCAGCAGAUUGAGGAUGAGACUGUUAAAUUUGCUCAGUAUAUGGGAAUUAAAGUUGUUUCUAUUGUUGGUGGUCAGUCCAUUGAGGAGCAAGGGUUUAAGAUAAGGCAGGGUUGUGAAAUUGUGAUUGCUACCCCUGGUCGUUUGAUUGAUUGCUUGGAGCGUCGCUAUGCGGUUCUCAACCAGUGUAAUUAUGUUGUUCUUGAUGAGGCUGAUCGCAUGAUUGAUAUGGGGUUUGAGCCACAGGUCAUGGGUGUGCUUGAUGCUAUGCCUUCUAGUAAUUUGAAACCUGAGAAUGAAGAUGAAGAGCUCGAUGAGAAGAGGAUUUAUAGGACCACUUAUAUGUUUAGUGCCACUAUGCCUCCUGCUGUGGAGAGGCUUGCUAGGAAGUAUUUGAGGAACCCUGUUGUGGUGACUAUAGGCACUGCUGGAAAAGCAACUGACUUGAUCAGCCAGCAUGUGAUCAUGAUGAAGGAAUCUGAGAAAUUUUAUAAGCUUCAGAGAUUGUUGGAUGAGCUUAAUGAUAAAACUGCAAUUGUGUUUGUCAACACCAAGAAGAGUGCCGAUUUUCUUGCUAAGAAUUUGGAUAAGGAAGGCUAUCGUGUGACUACCUUGCACGGAGGGAAAUCACAGGAACAAAGAGAGAUUAGUCUUGAAGGAUUUAGGACCAAGAGAUAUAAUGUGCUUGUUGCAACCGAUGUUGCUGGACGUGGUAUUGACAUACCUGAUGUGGCUCAUGUUAUCAACUAUGAUAUGCCUGGGAAUAUUGAAAUGUAUACCCAUCGUAUAGGACGUACAGGUCGUGCAGGAAAGACUGGUGUGGCUACAACAUUCUUGACUCUCCAGGACACUGAUGUCUUCUAUGACCUUAAGCAGAUGCUCAUUCAGAGUAAUAGUGCAGUCCCACCUGAAUUGGCAAGGCAUGAAGCUUCCAAAUUCAAGCCGGGAUCUAUUCCUGACAGACCACCUAGGCGAAAUGACACUGUUUUUGCCCAUUAGGGAACUUUCUUUUGAGGUUUAUUGCAGCAGACGAAGUUGUCGUAACCAUUAGAAACUCACGAGAACUAGGGUUUGAAUACUGGUGUUGACGUCUAUCCUCUGUAACAUGCUAUUGUUUAGCUGACUCGGAAAACCUGGCUCCUCCCUAUGUAGAUUUCUUUCUUCUAUCAAGCUAUUGUUUAGCUGGUUUUGUCGUUUCUGCUUGUGCAUCCCCUGAACACAGGCAGCAUAUUGUCUCAGCCAAGGUAUGUUAUGGUAUUGGUAUGCAUGUUUUGUUUUUUCUCUCUUCAUUUGUUUAUUUAUUUUAAAAAUAAUGGUUUAUUUGCUUUUUAAUUGGUUUUUUCAUUUCCUUGUUUCUUGAUGAGGAGUUGAGAUACUUUUGUUUUAUCUUUUGCUUGUGAAAUGCAAGAGCAAUGUUCAUAGAAAGGGUAAACAUGCCUCAUGCAUAUCUAUUUGGGAGAAAGUAGUUCUGUUGGGAUUGUAUGGAUUAUAGAAACGGGCCCAAAUGUUUCUCAUUAUAUGAGUGGUUUUAAUUCAAUAUAAAUAUAGUGUUUUGAUAUUAUUUCCUCUUGUUUAGAUAUGAAUGUGAGUACAAUCAUGAUGAUGCUUUCACAUUUAGAGAUAUUGAGCACACAUAAAUAUGCAGUGUGUAUUGCUUUCAAUUUGUAGGCAACUGUAGAAAUUUCUAAACAUUAUCAUGAUUGCAAGUAUUUCUAUGAAGUACACGCUAAGCUCAACAUAUUAAUAAAUUUGUUUAAAAUUGAAAAUUUUGAACCAUAACUAAGUAACAUACUUGUUGCAAUUUUGGUCACAAAUCUCAAAAGGAGGUGAUGCUGCCUUUUUUUUCUUUCUUGCUCUCAUCUAUCCAUCUACUAGUUUUAAUUAUUCUUGAAUCUCUCCAUUUGUCCAUACAUCUUCUAUUUUGUUUCAUUUUGAAAAUGUCUAGGAUUCUUAUAUUCAAAAUUUAGAAAUUUGGGUUUAUAACUUCACUUUUUUUAAAUUUAUUUUUAUUAAGGUAAAAUUUAUACUGUAUCAUUUAAAAAUCCGUCACUUUUGGGUUCAAAAAUCUGGGUUGGGACUUAAAUCAUAACCAUCCAUGCGAUGGCUCUUUCAUAGGAAUUUAAUUGAUAUGCACCGAUUGUGCAACAAUAUUUUACCCAAUCAGUUAAUUUUAAAAAGAUGUAAUUCUGUAAAAAAAAUAAUUUUAAAAAGAUAAAUCAAACGGUCUUUAGUAAACCUCCUAUUUUUAAAAAUUAUUUUCGAAACAAUCUAUUGAGUCUUUUAAAUGUGAUAUUUGUCCGUUUUAUAAACAUAUAAUCGAACUAUUUUUCCUUUGAGUUUUAUUAAAAGUGUUGGUCCAUUUGAUCUUAUUCAUUCUUAUGUUUGAGGACUAACCUCUAUUUCUAACAUUUUGGGUGUGAGAUUGUUUAUUUCUUUUAUUGAUAAUAUUUCUUUUAUUGAUAAUUGUUCUCGAGAAACUUAGAUUUUCUUGAUGAAUGAUAAAUUAGAAAUAUCACAAUUGUUUAUUUAAUUUUAUAGUAUAACACAAACACGAUUUGAGAAUGAUGUUAAAAGAAUACGUUUGGUUAAUGGUAAAGAAUUUGUCAUUCACAAUUUUUACAAUUUUACUAGUAAACAUGGCCUCAUCCAUGAAUUCACAUGUGAUACACUCCAUAACAAAAUGAUGUCUAGUAAUAUGAAGGCCAUAGAGUUUGACUACACCUCUAUGAAAAAAUAAAUCAAAGUUCCCACUAAGGCGUUUAUCCCCCUUUAGAAGAGAACGGAGUUUUUAAUGGUGGACCAGAUGUCCCAACAAGUUGCUCGACAUGUGUAUCCUUAACACAGAGGUUACCAGAAAUAUUCUUGGAGGUGUCUUCAGCGUGGAAGAUAUGGGCUCAUAAGGCCCUAUUGCUACAAACUAUAUGGAUAUCCUCUAGUCCUAUAGAUAUCCAAGACUUAAAAGAAAACGAAAGCAAGUUCAAUCAAAGAAAGUAUAGAAGUCCAAAGUAAAAGCCACAAGUCUAAUAGCUCAUACAUCUCUUAGAGUUUCCUCAAAAGAAGAUUAAUAUUUUGAUAGUGGAUGUUCCAGACACAUGAUUGGAGAAAAUACCUAUUUAAGUCAAGGGGGAUUUCCACACACGAAAACUUGGAGCAAGUUGGUGAUUUUGGAAGAUUUAAGCAAAGAUCAGGUGAAUCUUGCAAUAUCAGCGAAGCAGACGCCGUAUACAAUAAGAGAGGAUCAAAGUAAGAAAACUAGCUAUUUUAAGGAGUAUCUUGCAUCAAGUAGUUGUAUUAUUUUUGUAAACAAUUGUCAUUUAUUAUUAUAUGAAGACUAACAAUUUUCAAUGGGAACCCAUUGAAUAAUGGAUUAAGCUCCAGCGAGGAUGAUAGAGCUGAA